UCGGGAAUUUUGGGCAAUGGGCGAAAGCCUGACCCAGCAACGCCGCGUGAGGGAUGAAGUAUUUCGGUAUGUAAACCUCGAAAGAAUGGGAAGAAUAAAUGACGGUUCCAUUUAUAAGCUCCGGCUAACUACGUGCCAGCAGCCGCGGUAAUACGUAGGGAGCAAGCGUUGUUCGGAUUUACUGGGCGUAAAGGGCGCGUAGGCGGCGCGGUAAGUCACUUGUGAAAUCUCUGAGCUUAACUCAGAACGGCCAAGUGAUACUGCUGUGCUAGAGUGCGGAAGAGGCAACCGGAAUUCUUGGUGUAGCGGUGAAAUGCGUAGAUAUCAAGAGGAACACCUGAGGCGAAGGCGGGUUGCUGGGCCGACACUGACGCUGAUGCGCGAAAGCCAGGGGAGCAAACG
rnacentral:rRNA from 1 species